rnacentral:rRNA from 1 species
AUUGAACGCUGGCGGCAGGCCUAACACAUGCAAGUCGAACGGUAACAGGAAGCAGCUUGCUGCUUUGCUGACGAGUGGCGGACGGGUGAGUAAUGUCUGGGAAACUGCCCGAUGGAGGGGGAUAACUACUGGAAACGGUAGCUAAUACCGCAUAACGUCGCAAGACCAAAGAGGGGGACCUUAGGGCCUCUUGCCAUCGGAUGUGCCCAGAUGGGAUUAGCUAGUAGGUGGGGUAACGGCUCACCUAGGCGACGAUCCCUAGCUGGUCUGAGAGGAUGACCAGCCACACUGGAACUGAGACACGGUCCAGACUCCUACGGGAGGCAGCAGUGGGGAAUAUUGCACAAUGGGCGCAAGCCUGAUGCAGCCAUGCCGCGUGUAUGAAGAAGGCCUUCGGGUUGUAAAGUACUUUCAGCGGGGAGGAAGGGAGUAAAGUUAAUACCUUUGCUCAUUGACGUUACCCGCAGAAGGAGCACCGGCUAACUCCGUG